ACCAGCUAAGCCACACCGGCCAGGCCAUAUUUCACUUGGAAAGGAAGUUCCUCUGUUUUAAAACAAAACAUUUGAGAAUCAGCAGUGUGUCCCGUCCCCGGAUUGUAUGCAUUUCACAUACUCAAGGCAGCUGUGAAGGAGGUAAAGUUUACCAGGUCACCUGCUUCCUUCCUGCGUCUCUAGUCCCUGUUGUCUCAUGCCUAGUGCUCUUACCCAGCCCCUCCCUCUGGGAAGGGCUGGAUGCCUGCCGUGGAAUGAACACGUGUGCCCUCUUCAAGGAACGUCACAGUGACGAGCAAGAAGAGGAACAGAAACUAAGGCUGGAAUUCUCGAACUUCAUCCUGUUCAGUCAAAACCAGACCAAGGAACAUUCAUGAGUCAGAGCUCUGGGUGACUCUGAGACGUGUCCUGGUACCUAUGGCUACAUUGGGAAGUUACUACCUGAACAUCUGAGGUUCCACGCCCGAGGGUACCCUGAAAAGUAGCACCAUGUCCCUCCUUGAGGAAGAGUCGCAGACCCUGGAACAGUCUCAGAUGUGGCACCUCCUGGAGUGGGUGAUGGGGACAGAAAAGAAGGGAUCCAAAGGCAGAAGCAACAAGUGUAAUUCUCCAAGUUAGACGCCAUGCCGCCAUCCUGCUGACAAGGAGACCGAGACUCCAGAAGAGUCACUAAACUGUGUGCGGCCCACACAGCCAGGAAGUGGCAGAGCGACUUUAGGGCCUACGCCAGAUCGUGGGCACGGAGAAGCUGGCAGCAUCCACUCACGGAGAAGCUGGCAGCAUCCCCUCACAGAGAAGCUGGCAGCAUCCCCUCACUGAGAAGCUGGCAGCAUCUACUCACAGAUGCUCAGGCUCCGUGAGACGCAGAGGCCAGAGGCACAAGAGAAGCAGGAGGAAUAAGGAGGCUGACCAUCCCUGCCUCGAGUGGUGACUGUCGGAAUUACAGGAGAUGUCCCACAGAAAGGUAAGGAGUUGGUAGCACUACAGAGCUGGGCACAUAAAGUGGGCGUGAAUGAUUCCCAACUGUUGAGGACGUCCUGGAAGCAAGCUGUGUGGCUGAGUCUGCGUACUGCGUGACGGAGCAAGCGGGAGUUCUGCAGUUAGCUUUCAUGUAGAAUGGGAGCUCUAACGGGAACCUAGUGCUCAUGCAAUAACUGUCUCUCAGUACAAUCGACUCAGCCCAGGAGACCUGCAGCCAAGAGCUCAAUCACUGGACACCAUCCCUCUUUCGGAAGCCUCAGCACGUACCGCCCUUGUGACAAAUUCGUCACUGGACUUGCGGUCCUCCUAACGGGCUUCUCUCCUCCCACUCAUGGCAGCCAGAGUAAACUGUUAAAAUGCAAAUAAGAUCUGGAAACAGCCCAGGUGCCCCUCAGGAGGUGAGUGGAUAAAAAAGCGGUGGUACAUGUGCACAGUGGAAUACGAUGCAGUGGUAAAAAAGGAGGAUCUCUGACCCUUCUGCAAUAGCGGGAUGUGCUCAAGGCAGUUAGACCGACAUGAGCAGAGCAAGGACGAUGGGCCCGGUACAGCGGGUCACCAGGAUGGAAAGCCCAGGUGCCUAGCAAUGGACAGUCACUUGUACGGUGGGACCUUGCCUCCAGGGUGACUUUUCCUCCCCUAGCCCUUCGCUGGUCCUGCAGUUUGGAACCCUUGACCUUUCCUCCCUAGAGAUAACAUCUAUCCCUCGGUU